GUGGGGAAUAUUGGGCAAUGGGCGAAAGCCUGACCCAGCAACGCCGCGUGAGGGAAGAAGGCCUUCGGGUUGUAAACCUCUGUCCUUGGUGACGAAGAAAGUGACGGUAGCCAAGGAGGAAGCCCCGGCUAACUACGUGCCAGCAGCCGCGGUAAUACGUAGGGGGCGAGCGUUGUCCGGAAUUACUGGGCGUAAAGGGUGCGUAGGUGGCCUUUUAAGUUGGAUGUGAAAUACCCGGGCUUAACUUGGGGGGUGCAUCUAAUACUGGGAGGAUAGAGUGCAGGAGAGGGAAGCGGAAUUCCUAGUGUAGCGGUGAAAUGCGUAGAUAUUAGGAGGAACACCAGUGGCGAAGGCGGCUUUCUGGACUGUAACUGACACUGAGGCACGAAAGCGUGGGGAGCAAACAGGAUUAGAAACCCGGGUAGUCC
rnacentral:rRNA from 1 species